UAAGAUCAGAUCUCAAAACUCUCCUUCUUCCCUCUAAAAGAGUUCUUCAUCCCUCUCUCCCACGUUGCUUGGCAUGCGUGCAAAGUGGGGAUCUGCGCAUUCGAAUCUCAUGAAGCAAAUCGAUUGAGGAACCUCUUCUACCUUGAUCAAGUAUUCUGCCACAAAUCAAAGUGAGAUUUCAUAAACAUUAUAAAAAUUUUAGUUGCUAAUCUAUUCAAUUUUCUUCCUAACA
rnacentral:lncRNA from 1 species